rnacentral:rRNA from 1 species
AUUGAACGCUGGCGGCAUGCCUUACACAUGCAAGUCGAGCGGCAGCGCGGGGGCAACCCUGGCGGCGAGCGGCGAACGGGUGAGUAAUGCAUCGGAACGUGUCCUUUUGUGGGGGAUAACCAGUCGAAAGACUGGCUAAUACCGCAUGAGCUCGAGAGAGGAAAGCAGGGGACCGCAAGGCCUUGCGCGAGAGGAGCGGCCGAUGCCCGAUUAGCUAGUGGUGAGGUAACGGCUCACCAAGGCGACGAUCGGUAGCUGGUUUGAGAGAACGACCAGCCACACUGGGACUGAGACACGGCCCAGACUCCUACGGGAGGCAGCAGUGGGGAAUUUUGGACAAGUGGGGGCAACCUGAUCCAGCCAUGCCGCGUGUGUGAAGAAGGCCUGGUUGUAA